GAUCAUGGCUCAGGACGAACGCUGGCGGCGUGCUUAACACAUGCAAGUCGAACGAGAAUCUGCGGAACGAGGAUUCGUCCAAGUGAAGCAGAGGACAGUGGCGGACGGGUGAGUAACGCGUGAGGAACCUGCCUUUCAGAGGGGGACAACAGUUGGAAACGACUGCUAAUACCGCAUAACACAUGGGUGUCGCAUGGCACUGAUGUCAAAGAUUUAUCGCUGAAAGACGG
rnacentral:rRNA from 1 species